GUGUGAGAGCAAUUGGACUGUGACAUCUGUCAUUCCAAUGAUCUCCAGGGCUGAUUGGGCUGCUGUGGCUGGCUAGCCAUGUGUUCCCUCCCUCUGUAUCUGCUCCUCAUGCACCCCUCCCAAAGCUCUGUCAAAGACGAUGACCUUCCCUAGUACCACAGGACCACUGCUUGGUAUGGGAGUAGCUGCACUCGGCGGCUGGAAUCCCCAAACAAGCCAUCAAGAUAGGCUAGAUGCUGAGUAGCUUCCUUCUUUCUCCUCACUCAAACACGAGGGUAUGCUUAGGG
ensembl:misc_RNA 7SK 7SK RNA